ensembl:lncRNA
AGUGUUUCUCCCUGUGAACUGUCUGUCCUGUGGUUCAAGAAGACAGAAUACCUCAGCAAGCGGCUGGAGAGAGGGAAAAGCAGAAAGACCUGUUGACUAGCUGGACGUAUUUCCUUGAGGCGCUUUGGAACUUAGUUCUGCUCUGUCCCAGCUCCAGAAGGACCGGCUAUUCUCUGGAUACUUCAUGCCUUCUUGACUGUGCACCUGCCAGUACCUAUCACCACGAUGUCCUGUUUCUAUCCACUAGCAAGAACCAAACCAACAUCACUUCUUAAGGAAGACAGACUUGGGUUUGCUUUUUUUAAGUGCGUCCUUGGCACCUUUGUACAUCAUCUCUCCAUUACAUCCACCAAGACAUAGCUUAGCUCUGUAGCUGCUUAUGCGCCUCCUCCAGGCAGUAGGUUCCUUGAGGGCAGGUACCAGACCUCUUCACCUUGGCAUCUUUACUGCCUGGUAUAGUGCCUGUCAAAUAGCAGAUACUCAAUCCAUUUUUAUGCAGUUUGUUGUCUUUCAAAGUAAGCAACUGGAAAUCGAGAAAAAGAUCCACUGGGUUCAUUUGUAAUAGAAGAGGUUUAAUUUCAGGGGAUAAUCUAUCUUGUGCUGUAUUAUGGAAAGGGUGCAGAAAAUCCAGGUUGGAGUUAUAGUUCAGAGUACUAGAAUUGGGGUCAUUUUUAAUUUAACCUUCUUGUUUUCCACAUAAGGAACCUGAGACCCAGAAUGAUGAGGUGACUUGCUCUAGGUUGCACUGCUUACUAGACUCAGAGCCAGGAAGAGAACUCAGCUCUUCUUAUUCUCAAAAUGCUGCUCAUCUAACUACUUUUCUGCCAUUCUCUGUGCUCUCAACCCCUUAUAUGACCCUGAAUUGGUCACCUAAACCUGGCUGAGCCUUUGUUUUUCCAUUACAAGUGCGGAACUGUUCUCACUGGAUAGUUGGCUAGAUCCAAAUGAUAUAAACAUGUGAAAGCAAUUUGAGACCUAUAAAUGCACCUUCAAAACAUGAGGUGUCAUCGCAGGAUGCUUCUCCACCCUGGAUGCUAUGCAGAAAAAGUCACUCAUUCCCUUUGGUGACGGGAAACAUUGUCUAAUCCUGCAAUUUGGCAAGUCUACAAGGAAUAAAAUUUAAGACCUUAUGGAGAGCUCCUUUUUUCCAUUUGCUUUAACAAGCAUUGGUUCAUUUUAAUAAUCUGUAACAAAAGGUCUAGCUAAUAAGAAUGGCAAAAUGUAAAAAGCUACACAGUCAGCACGUAGAAUUUUCCUGAAACACUUUGCGAUCAACCCUUUCAUAAAGUGGGAGAUCAAUACUGCCAGGUGGGCUUGUGUGGGAUUUGCCAGGCUAGGAGAUUUGUGACAAGAGUUGGAGUCAAAUUUGGGUUGUUUAUUUCAGCGCCACUCAAAGUGCCGAGUUUAUGAAUAAGAAACGUAAAAAAAGUCUGGUUAUGAAAUAUUUGGUGUCUCAUCAGGCCAUGAGCAGGAAAGGAAAGGCGUGCCAAACCCACUAUUUUCUGUCCUUCCGACCACUUCAUACUUGCUUUUAAAAGUGUUUAUGUAGAGAAUUUAAUCAAUUUUCAGUUAUUAUCAAAAACCAGUGUGUGUGAGAUACUGCGCUAGGUGUGGGAAUAGAGAGGAGAAUUAGACCCACUCACAGUGUGGUCUUUUGAAAAGAAAUGAACAGGUAAUGAGAUGUAUUAAGUAAUUACCAAGCCCUAUAGGAGGACAUAAUGAGGGCACCUGGUUAUUCCCAGAGAUUGACUCUAGGCCAGAUUUUAAGCCUAACAAUCUUUCACAGUUUAAUCCUAGCUUCACACUUCUGAACUUUCAAGCCAUCUUUGUUCUGCUCUUAACACAUUUAAUAAUAAUUAUAACAAUAGCUACCACUUACUAAGUAUCUGUGGGAGUUAUUUCUAUGUAGCACCUUAUACAAAUACUCAUGUUUAGUCUAGUCCUUCAAAUAAUUCUACUUUCUAUCAGGAACAGAAUCCAAUGUAAGGCUUUCAUAACUCCCUCCCUGACUCUUCAUAUAAUUUUCUUUUCUGCUUAUCUAAAUUAGUUUUGCUAGUGUCUUUAGUCAGAUUUUCCCUAUUAAUGUAUAUUUGUGCGGUUAGAAGAUGCUGCUGAUGAUGUUAAUGAUGACAAUAGUUUAUGUUAAUUUGGUCCUUACUCUUUUGCUAGCUAUGAUGCUAAACUCUUCACAAAGCAUCAUCUCAUUUAAUUGCCUCAAUAAAGGUAUGAGGUAGGUAUUAUUAUUCUCCAUAUCUGAAAGAUGAGGAAAUGGAGGUCUAGAGAGGUUAGAUGUUCCUGACAGAUACAGCUACUGAGUAAGAGACCUGGGCUGAAAUCUGUAUCCUUCGGAUCUCGAGCUUAAAAAAUGAGUGCUCUCUUGGGCAUAUAUCUGGACAAAACUCUACUUAAAAGAGACACAUGCACCCGCAUGUUCAUUGCAGCACAAUUUACAGUAGCCAAGACAUGGAAACAACCUAAAUGUCCAUCGACAGAGGCGUGGAUCCAGAAGAUGUGGUACAAUACACAAUGGAAUAUUACUCAGCCAUCAAAAAGAAUGACAUAAUGCCAUUUGCAACAACAUGGAUGGAACUAGAGAAUCUCAUACUGAGUGAAAUGAGCCAGAAAGACAAAGACAAAUACCAUAUGAUAUCACUUAUAACUGGAAUCUAAUAUCUGGCACAAAUGAACAUCUCCUCAGAAAAGAAAAUCAUGGACUUGGAGAAAAGACUUGUGGCUGCCUGAUGGGAGGGGGAGGGAGCGGGAGGGAUCAGGAGCUUGGGAUUAUCAGACACAGUUUAGAAUAGAUUUACAAGGAGAUCCUGCUGAAUAGCAUUGAGAACUAUGUCUAGAUACUCAUGUUGCAACAGAACAAAGGGUGGGGGAAAAAAUGUAAUGUAUACACGUAAGGAGAACUUGAUCCUCUUGCUGUACAAUGGGAAAAUAAAAUAAAAAAAAAGAAAAA